AUUGAACGCUGGCGGCAGGCCUAACACAUGCAAGUCGAGCGGAUGAAGGGAGCUUGCUCCUGGAUUCAGCGGCGGACGGGUGAGUAAUGCCUAGGAAUCUGCCUGGUAGUGGGGGAUAACGUCCGGAAACGGGCGCUAAUACCGCAUACGUCCUGAGGGAGAAAGUGGGGGAUCUUCGGACCUCACGCUAUCAGAUGAGCCUAGGUCGGAUUAGCUAGUUGGUGGGGUAAAGGCCUACCAAGGCGACGAUCCGUAACUGGUCUGAGAGGAUGAUCAGUCACAGGGGAAGUGAGAAAGGGCCCAGACUCCGAGGGAAGGCAGAGGGGGGGAAUAUUGGAAAGGGGGGGAAAGCGGGACCCAGCCAUGGCGGGGGGGGGAAGAAGGUCUUCGGUUUGUAAAAAACUUUAAGUGGGGAGAAAGGGAAGUAAGUUAAAACCUUGGUGUUUUGACUUAAACAACAAAAAAAACACCGGAAAACUGGGG
rnacentral:rRNA from 1 species